rnacentral:lncRNA from 1 species
UUGUCCUUCUCCUUGGGCGGACGCAGGUGUUGCCCGGCUUUCUCUUUUCGCAUCCGCCCUCGAAGGGAACCGCCGCAUAAAAGGACACGCGCGUAAGGCGAAGGCAGGCCUAGCCACAUAGAGUCCAGCUCCACCCGAGGACACGGGGAUCUCUUUGGGGGUCUCAUACCUAUAUUUAACAAUAAACCAUCUCACUUCUCGUUCCUCGCCUACGCCUGUUACCGAUCCACGCUCUCUAUCGUCAAAGUCGAAGUGCCUCUUCCCGUAGUUCUCAGCCAUCACUACCAAGCCUCAUUUUAAUCCACGCCUACUCGCAACAUGUCUGCCCUACUAGAGCCAUGGAGUCGCAGUAUAUCUACCACCACCACCAAUACUUCCUCGUUACUAUUAAAAAUUAAGAUUACCUAUCAGUACCAGAUUAACUAUUACUCUCCCUAUAUCCACCCAUACAUCGCAUAAAAGUUGCCUUCUUUCAAAUUCAAGUACACGCCACUCAACGAAUACACAAUACUAACUCUAUACUACAUAACUUCAACCAUUGUUUUAUUCAACAAAGAACGGUCACCCACUGAGAUCAAACCUAAGUGACACACACCCUCACCUCACACCUCAUUCUCCAGCCCCGACCAUCCCGUAAUGGAUGAAUUGUGGGUUUUUUUUCGUCCAUUAUCAUUUAUCGUCAGAUCGCACAGAUUGUGUGUAUUAUUUCUCUCACAACAAAUGAUUGCCUUUGAGUUUAAUUAUUGUUAUAUUCGGUUGUUCUCAUCAUAUUAUUCAUGUUUAUUUUUUCGAAUUCAUAAAUUUUCCUAUUUUUUUCAUUGUAUGCUAUACCCAUUAGUAAUUAUUUAUUACUACUUGCAAAUUGUUAUAUUCUGUGUAUACACCUAUAUCGGUGUGUUUAUUUAUGAUAUCCCUAUUUCUUUAUACUUUGCCGUGCCAAUCGGCCGCUCAUUCACACAAAUUUAGAAAACCUGACUAACCUCUAAUCUACCUACCUACCUACGCUACACGGAUUUCACUCUAGGAUUAUGAAUUUUACUAAGUGCCAUCCCUUUGACUUAUAAUUAAACCCAAAUUAGUUUCAUGACGUUCUCUCGCAGUACGAUAUCUUGUUCUCAGUAAUGUUGGAAUUUAUGCUUCUUUAGUUUUUGGGUAUUGGUUAAUAUUUACCAUGUAACUAACUGAUGGUACUCUCUUUUGUUGCAAAUAAUUGUAACGCACUACAGACACCAUACUUUAUAGGCUUACAUAGUUAUCAUUACCGCAAGUUAGUUUUAAGCCCGACUCAUGGCCGUAAACGAAGGAAUCCUGCGCCCGCCGCACACUUGCGCUCAUACGAUUGAAGCGCCGGGACGCGCUGCCUUUGUGUUCGAAGCAUUUAUCUUAUCAAGUACCAUCUCCGGUUCGGAGGUUGACAACCAGUUCCUGGUUGCAGAAAGAGGGUAAUAUAUGAAGCAGGCCCCAAGAACUACUCCACCCGCAGAACAGCAACCAAAGUCAGGAUAAAUGACCUUUCUACUGUCAUCCUUGGAUCUACCGUUGACCAUGGCUCUUCCGCCAGUUCUAGCUCUUUUACUGGCCUGGUACACUGAUAUUUCAGCUUCCGAAGACGAUUGACCCUCCUCGCUAUUGAAUAUUGAAUAUUCCUCCGCCACGCCCGCUUCCCUGGCACGCGACGAUCCUUGCGAUCAUCAAGAACCAUCUGUAGAUACCGAACAGAACCGUAUCUCUAUGCGUUACUGCAGUGUUUCAAGAGUUGCAGAUGGCACGAGGCCGAGCCUUGCGCGUGGCCGAGCGAUGUCAACAAUUCGUAGCAAGACAGGAUGGCACACUUCACACCUCUGUCCAGCAGCCGCCCUUCUCCUUGGAAGGACGCAGGUGUCGCCCGGCUUUCUCAUUUCCCACGGGAAUAAACAGCCGCCCGAAGAGAACCGCCGCCUAAAAGGACACGUUCGUAAGACAGGAAGGGAGAGACUCGGCAGACAGGGUCCAGCUCCACCAGCUCGUCCUCCACCCGGGGACGCGGGGUCUCUUGGGGGGUCUCAUAUCUAUCUUCAAAAAUAAACCAGCAAUCUAA